rnacentral:pre_miRNA from 1 species
UCUUACGGAUGAGCAAAGAAAGUGGCUUCUUGAGAUGGAAUCUACUCUGGAGAAGAUGCUGGGAA